GUUUAGCAGUGCUUGAAAUAAAAGCGUAUAAUAUAAAACAGAUUAAAUAUCAGAGCUCAUCAUAGUAAAAUGUCGCGUUGUUUUCAGAUCAUGAAGUGAAUUUAAAUGUUGUUUUCAAAUCAUAAAAUCGGCGAAAGUAAAUAUUUUUGAGUUUAAAAGCAGGCAUAAAACAGUAAUUUUAAGUAUCUGCCUACCUCCGCCAAAACAGCAAAUAAACUAUUAUUAAACAUAAAGGAUUAUAAAAUCCACCUUGCGACUUGUUUUCUAUAUUUAAGAAUAGUUUUGUCGUCAAUUUAGGGAUAAAGAAAGCAUCUGAAUCUUAGUUUACAAGCAAGGAAUCAAAGGACUUGAUAAUAUUUGUAUUUGGAAGGUCAGAAGACUGCGAUAAGUGUGAGGUUUCAGUGUGGGUAUUGUCUGCAAAAGGAAAGAUAGAUAAUGUUUUCGAGCUGACCAGUUACGAGAUUUUUCAGCAACUUUCAGCAACGAGAAAGCAGGUUUCAGAACUAAAAUGGAUGGUAGCAGCUGCUUUCAUAUCAGUGAGAUUUGAGAAGCAAGCGAUCCACCGAUUCUUAAAUUGUACUUUCACAAUAGCAGGAUUAAAAGAUACCUACAUGAGAUGAAAUAUUCAGUGUUUAUCAUCAUUGCUCUUGUUGCUUCCAUCGUUCAUGGAAAGCCUCGCUUCCAUUUUGCUGAUCACCUGAAUGAGGAGGUGGAGGGAAUGGAUCAAAAACUUGACAUGCCGCAGCAAUUCAAGAUAACAGACAAUGUGUGUAAAGAUAACGAUAAAUGGUGUCCAUACUUGGCUUCCCUAGGCCGGUGUAACGUGUCCAACUGGAUGCAACUGAACUGCAGAAAAAGUUGCAACGAGUGCACGUGAUAACCAACCCGCACCAGUCAGACUGACUAAAGUAAAAUUGCAUUGUUUUUGUUAAAUUGCAUUACAGAUUAAAUUGCAAGAAAAAUUCUGCUUCUUUGAAUGCAUAUGAUGCUUUGUCAGUGUUCUAAGAUUCACGCCGUAUGCAAAACGCCAUCUUGCAAAACUAUGGUCGCAAGAAAGUAGAGUUAAAUAUAUUUAGCUGAGAAAGUCUCCGAUUACAUCAUUUUUUUACUUUUUAGGUCCUUUUUACGUUUGUCAGUUGCUAGGUAUAAGCAUGCGCAAACGGUCGGCCGUAAUUAGAACUAGGUUAUCUUACAAGACUUACCGUAAUUAGAAUUAGAAGACGUCAAUCAAUCGGAUCGAUAUCCACAAAACAUAUCAACGCCGUAAAAAAGGUGUGAAGCCAUUUACUAAGUUUUUGCGAUUUGAUAAAAGGUAUUAAUUGAAAGUGGGUUGGGGAUGUUAUGGCUUAAUUCUAAUAGAAGUACAGGGCCCUUUUCACAACUUCCAAAUAAUAUCAAGAGGGUAACGAACAAAUAUUUUGAGUGAUAAGAGACUGCUGGGAAAAAGCGUUUGUGCUCAGCUAGCAGUAACUUCGACAUUUUCCCAAAAGCAAAUGAACCAGAACAUAUCUCUAGAAUUAAAUAACAUUUGGUGACUGUAACGAGAAAUAAGUCUAAAAGCUGUUACUCUUAGUACCAGGUCCUCGACAAACAACUAUGCGGACAAAAUAACUAAUUCUUCGGCAAAUAUGGAGAUAAUAUGCAUUUUUGAGGCUAGAUUUGGUUUAAUUCCCUAGGCCUGAACAUGACAAACCUGAAACCCUCAUUUAACAGGGCAUCAUUUGCUUGGUUGGAUAAAAAAAGCAAAGGAUCUAAAAGUAUAUUUGAAAAAGCUAAAUGUUUUACACUCCUGUGUAAAAACAACCCGGCAAAACCGUCCCCUGUUAAAAUUCCAGUUCGAAAAAUUGAAUGACCCAGGCACUUUUUCAUGUAAUCUAGUCCCCUAUAAAGGGCAAAGAAACUUUUUGCUCCUUCUCAGUUGAAAGUUUUGUUACCCUACCUGAACAUGUACAUAAAUUCUCUUUAGCAGGUCUUCUAGAGUUCCAUUUCUCGGAUCACAUUUUACAAAUCCACUGACUACGUUUCUUACCGUUUUUACCGGCCGGUCCUUAAAAACUCACCGUGCUUAUAGAGGGGUGUUUAUAUUCUUUUAAAAUGUACUAUAUAAGAAACUUUUUGGCGUGAUUUUGUGAAAAUCAACGACAACUGCUUUCCACACAUGCACCCUUGAGUUUUUUUAUUCUAAAGUCGACUUAUUUUCGAGUUGAACACAAAUACCAUUGCUUCUGGUUCCCAUGGAAAAGCAGCUUAGGCCACGAUUUUAAAUGAUCCAGCCAAGUUAUGAGGCGUUUUUACGAAAAAGCUGAUAUUAAGAAAAACUUUAAUUUGUCGGCAUCAAACGCACUCAAAGGCUUUAAGGAGCCAGCAGUGUAUUUAUGCAGAUUACUAGCUAAUUACACGGUUAAAAAUAAGAUCCCGAAUAUUUAGAUUUCAGGAAUGUAGCAGCUGAUUUCUGCUAUAUCCAUCCAAUAUGGCAACACUCAAGCUGAGAUAUUCUGAAGCUCGUUGAUCGCCAGGGCAGUGGCACUGCUCAACGUGUGCCUUCGCAAAAUGAGAUAACGCAACAAGUUGCUUCCAUGUCUGCUCACCGAAUAAAAGGUUUUCUCCCACCAGUUUAUUACCUGACCACAGAAGAUGAUCGAUUAUCCAUGUUUAUUGACGUCAACGAUUAUAUCGUUAAGGAACCCAAAGAAAGAAACAGGAAUUUACAUAACGAUUUACUUCAUAAGUGGGUUUUUUCAUUUGUAUCGCAGUAAGGCCUUAACGGGGAGCGUAAAAGAAAAAAAGUUUUUUAAGGAGGAAGAAAAAAUUGCCUGAAGAAAAUGAGAUUGAAGUUUCAGAGAUACUGUCUGUGGUACACAGCUUAAUGACUAUAUUUGAUUCAAAGAAAGCUGCGUCUUUUUAAUUUUUAAUUUAAAAUAUUACAAGACAUAAACUCAAAUUACUGUUUACUGGUCCGUCAUAAAGUGCUCGAUACCGUAUAGGCAGAGUUGUACACGCUAUUUGGUGCUUAGAACAGGACGGUUCUAAGUUGCUGGAAUUUAGAGCCGUACUGUUCAAUACACCGAAAAUCGUAAACUUUCACUCCACUCUGUUGACUGUACAACAAUAUAGGAGAAGGCUGUGCUUUAAGGGAAAGAGGGGAUGGAAUAAAACAUGCUGGUUUAUUCCAUCCCCCAAUUUUGGGGUUGUGCGCCCUACAUAGCCAAAAACACACUGACACGUAUGCUCAUUCAUAGCGAAAUUCUUAACUGACAUUAAAAAACGCAAUUUGUAUUACAUUUUUUAAAGCCGGAUUGGCCCCCAAUCUACCACUGCACAACCAAGAAAGUUAAAUUAAACAAGCUAUUUGUUAAAAAUUUAUAAGUAAGAAAAGCAGUUAUUUUCAAGAGGAACUAUAUUCCUUACCAAAAAUGAUAUUUUUCAUGCAUUUCAAAUGCUUGGCCAACAGUUUUGCAAUAAUUUAUCUUUUAUAGAUAUUUUAUCGAUGUUGUUGUGGAAAGAUCGUUUCAAACUGAUGAAGGUUGUCAUUUUGUGGCCACUAUCAAGCAGUCAUAUUUAAUGAUUAAGACUGAAUAUUUUUAAACUCUAUUAAAAUUGACUUAAAAUUAUUUUACGGAGAAAUCUUGAUCCAAGCUUAUGCUGUCAUCAACAUGAUUUCAUGACAUGAUUAUGGUUUCAUCAACAUAGCAAGGCCUUCCACUCAAUUUGCUGUUCUGUAACAAUAAAGUUUAAAAUAGCGAAAAAGGUCAGAUAGACAGAUCCUAAAAAUAAGAGUUUAGUGAGCACUAUUGAUUCAAGUUUCAUGAUAUUUAUUCAGAAAAUCUGUGCUUUUUGAAAAUCUAAAAUAGAAACUAGCCAAAGAUAGAAACUAGUGAUUGUAAGCAAUAUAUUAAAAGAAUAGAAACAAAGCUGAUCAAGUCUUUAAAACAAAUUUGUUUGUGCUGAUGUAUUCGAAUAGAAGAAUCAAAAUCAGGUCUUUUACAUGCUCUUCAGUGUAGACUUAAUGUCACUCUUCAAAAUACAGGUCCAAAAUAGCAUUUGAAGAACCAAUUAAACGCCCUAUUAGUUGACGCAUCUCCUCUACCCAUGUUGCUUUGUAAUUUGCUUCAUUCUGCAAUACUUUACUGCACAGCUUCUCUAAGUUUUUGAUUCCAUCGUGCACUUGCUUAAAACAUUGAACGUCCAAAGUAAGAGUUUCUUCAGAAAUUUUCUUGAAUUCUCCUUUGCGCAUCUCAUUCAGUAUUUUGUUGCAAAUCUCUUUGAUGUCUCUUACAUAGGGUACUCCUUGAUUGUUUCUAUUUGCAGCCUGAAUACGUGACGACCAGGCCUUAAGCUGUUCAUUUAAUGCCUGGAAGUCUUGUUUUUGUUCCAAGCUCUUUCCCAGUCUGCUCUCUACGUCACGAAGCUUUGCUUCAAGAGUUGCCUUUUCUUCUUUCAUCUUUGAAACUGACUUGAAGACACUGACAUCUUGAACAAGUUUUGCAUUUUUCAAACCACUAGGUGCUUUAUCAUUUAUGCCGUUUGUUGUACCAUUUAGGCCCUCCAUUUUUUCAUCUCUGCUUACCAUCCUAAGUCCAGUAGCUUUCCCAAUUUCAAUCCCUUGACAACUGGAUAUGGUUUCCAGAAACACGGGUCUGAAUGACCAUCAAACUCAAAGCAGUUGAUGCUCGUCUCUAACAAAGCUCGUUGUAACUUUGAUGUCGACUUUGCUGUAACAGUGCUGCAGAAUUUCUUCCAGUAGUUCUCGUUUAUUUAGUGCCACCAGUUGUAAUUAUAGUAACUUACAGUUGAAUAUUAUGAUGACCUUAUUAUUAAUAUCGUAUUUAUAAAAGCAAAUUCCUAUUGCUGGUGCCACUGGGCGUUUUAAAAAGUCUUUCAAUUGCUUAUUGAAUCUCGACUGGUAGAUGGAUUUGUUGGCUGACGCGGAAAUAAGCUUUCCAAAACCGAGGAUUGCUGCCAUUGAAAAUCAGUUUACCUACUUUACUAAAACAUGCUUAAUUAAUAUUUUGUCAACUUAGAAGCGUCCUGUUCUAAACACCAAAUAGCGUGUACAACUCUGCCAAUACGGUAUCGAGCACUUUAUGACGACGGACCAGUAAACAGUCAUUUUCAAUUGAGUUUAUAUGUCUUGUAAUAUUUUAAGUGAAAAAUUUAAAAAACGCAGCUUUCUUAGAAUCAAAUAUUGUCAUUAAGCUGUGUACCACAGGCAGUAACUUCAAUCUCACUUCCUUCAGACAAUUUUUUCUUUCUCCUUAAAAAACUCGUUUCAUUUUGGUUUUCUUUUUCACAAUAAACAAGAGACUUUUGAUAGGAAUGCCUUGAAAAAGAGAGUUUCUAAAGCGCAUCCUAUAUUGAGGAAUGAACGACUUCUAGAAAGUAACUGAAAAUAUUUCGAAAAGAGGCAGCCUAAAAUUAUUUACAAAAAAGACAGCGGUUUACAAUGCUCCGCAUUUCUAGCCUCUUGUCUUCAUGUUUUUCGUUAGGGAAUUUUAAAACAUUUUCCCCCAUCCACCGUAUUGGUCCCAUUGCUCUUACCCUUUUUACUUGAGUCUUUGAGUGCCCAGAUGCAGUAUUUUCGUCUGAAUUUAUUGUAAAGAAACUUAAACAGUUUCCAAACAGCCACAAAAAAAUCAACGAUUAGGAAAAGCUUUUCUGGUGGAUGGAAUCUAAUAGUAACCCUACCUCGUAGACUACUAGAAAACUAAGUAACUGAAAAUAUUUAAAAAAAGACACACCUAGAUCCAUUCUUGACACAAUGAUCACCAAGUGAGGGACAAGAGUUGGUUAUAAUACCCUUUUUGUCUCCCAAACAACGGCUAGGAGGCUAAGAGAGUUGUUGGUGAAUGUAUCUCACUCAAGUUACAAUUUUUUAUGAAAAUGUUGCUGCUUUGUCGGAGUUCGUUGGAAACUGAUUGAUCCCUCCCCCCGCAGUGUGCUCCUGAUCCAAAAUGUGAACUCGCUGUAAAAUGACAUCAACAAGAAAGAAAAAUUUGUGACUCGUGAUAUCUCUAAAUGAUUUAAAGGAAUUUUUUAUUCAUUUAGAAACUGUGAUAGCUGGCAAAACAUAUUAAUUAAUCUAAAAAAACUGGAUUUUUAUGAGGAUAUUUGCACAUCCGCACACACGUCACUUGAAGCCAACGUGGACUUCACAAUCGCAAACUUCACUUUGGUUUGUUAAUUAUUUAUUUCUGGCAUCGCAGCUUCAAUUGGUUACCACCACUCGUUAAAAAUUCAUAUCGCUAUGCAUUGGUUCUGUCACAAAGCACUUCCUGAUAUCGCCAUUGACUGUGAAAACUAGAUCUUGGUUAGCUGUUGUUCUGUGCAAAGACCAAAGAAGUGGACAUCUUCAAGUUGAAAGACAACUCUUCGCAAGAACACAAUGAACAGCAUAGCUGCAAGAGAGCUCAUUAGCAGAAGAAGCCAGGUCGAAGAAAACAUAAAAUCGAGACAAGAUCGAAUUUCUGUCAUGCUUAAAGAAAGAUCCAACCUGUUCAUCCUGUCAAAUACCAUUCAAAAAUGGGCGACCUCUGCUGAGUUGAUAGAACGGUUUUCACAGGGAAACCCUACGCUUAGGUCCUAUAGAGAGGCUUGCCUCGCAAUCAGAACCGAUGUCAAAGACAUCCGCGGCAUUAUGGAGGAGCUUUUAAGUGCCGCUGUACCAAACUUUGACAGUGUUGCAGAUGCUAUUGACAGAAUAGAUGCGAUUGUCGAAGAUGACCAGCAAACAGGGACUAAUGUGGAGGAGCUGCGUGCUGUCAUUGGAGAAGCAUGUGGUACCCUGGAAGUUAUAACCGGACUGCUUUAUGAUUAGUUGGCAUGGUAUAUAACGACCUAUUUGAUCGCAGAAGGACAGCUAGAUAUGGAGCUAGACAGAGGGAAUUAUACUGGGACCUUAAUCCAAAAGACUAGGCAACUUUCCACUGAAAAGCAAAUUUGGUUAAGAACAAUAAGUUUAUUCUUACGUAUAUCCCUUACUUGAUCACGUGUUGAAUGUUACUUG